rnacentral:lncRNA from 1 species
CGAGCUCGGUAGGUUUUCGUCGUCGUUUCGGAGGGCCGUUUAAGCGUGCGUGCAUCGUGGUAGCGCCGUUAGAGGCCGGGUGAGUGCGUGUUUUCCUCUCCUUCCGACAUCUCGCCGUCGUUGGAUUAGCUUUUCGAGGUGGGUUGAUGUUACCGGAAUUUUCAGAUUUCCUCCUAAGCCGCAGUUGACAGCAUGUACUAUUGGCUUUUGUAUAUCAUGUUUUAUAGAUCGAAUUCGUGGAUUUGCAUGUUUUUUGAAACCUGAAUUUGGAGCUUAGUUAUUGGUUUAGAUAAAUUAUACAUGUUGGACUUGGAUUUGAUUUAGGAGAAAGCAUUUAGAUUCUACACUGUCAUUUUCUGAAAACUAUCAGAUUUAUCUUUAGGAGCUGUAGUUUGUUUGUAUCGCCGCAGUUUGUAUGCGGUGGAUAUCCAGAAUAGUGUAAAAUAAAUUUACGCUCGUGCUGGAAUAACGAGGGUAUUUUUACAGUGUUGUAUAGACAGUUCCGGACUGUCCGAUACCGUCACGGUUGACGGUGGACCCAGUUUGCUAUUUCUGCAUCGAAUUGUGCCGAGAAUACGUGAGUUUUGGUUGUUAGAUCAGUUAGACUCUUCUGCUUUGACUAUAGCCUGUGAGAGCCUGAUUGAGCUCGGCGGAGAUACCUUGCAUACUCGGUUGGGUAGUGCCCACGAGUGCCACUCCGGAGUCGGGCUUUAUGCUUUUGCGUUGUUGUCGUUGUGUUCUGGUUGGACUUGCUCUCCACUGAUGACCCAGCGUGGAGGUAGUUAGUGUAGCUUCGAUAGGCGGGACGGGUGUGUUCACAGUCCCUAGUGAGUUGGGUCAGACAUUGCAUUUUUCUACAGAUAAUUAGUGUUGGAUCGAGAUACUAUAGUGGCAUAUAGUUGUAGAGGUUUUUAGCUUUCUUUACUAUCUUUGAGCAUAUUUCUGUAGAUUUAGUGGGUGAGCCGUUGAGGUCGGUAGCGGUACCCACUGAAAACUAUUUCUUUUUGUAGUAGUUCUCACACCCAGUGGUUGGCCCCUUUUUGUAGAGCCUUCUUCUGCGGCUGCUGCUAUUCCUGAUAUUGAGCGUGAGAAGGGUGUUGCGAGCUAGAUCCCUUCCAGACGAGUUGCAGAGCUAGAGGAGUACUUUCAACAGUAGUUUUGGAUUUUUUUAUGUACAUAUGAUUGUUGUCUG